rnacentral:rRNA from 1 species
CCUACGGGAGGCAGCAGUAGGGAAUAUUGCUCAAUGGGGGAAACCCUGAAGCAGCAACGCCGCGUGGAGGAUGAAGGUUUUCGGAUUGUAAACUCCUUUUGUUAGAGAAGAUAAUGACGGUAUCUAACGAAUAAGCACCGGCUAACUCCGUGCCAGCAGCCGCGGUAAUACGGCGGGUGCAAGCGUUACUCGGAAUCACUGGGCGUAAAGAGCGCGUAGGCGGGAUAGCAAGGCAGAGGUGAAAUCUUAUGGCUUAACCAUAGAACUGCAGUCGAAACUGGUAGUCUAGAGUAUGGGAGAGGUAGGCGGAAUUCGUGGUGUAGCGGUAAAAUCCGUAGAGAUCAAGAGGAAUACUCAUUGCGAAGGCGACCUGCGAGAACAUAACUGACGCUGAUGCGCGAAAGCGUGGGUAGCAAACAGGAUUAGAUACCCCAGUAGUC